rnacentral:misc_RNA from 1 species
GAUGAAGAACGUAGCGAAAUGCGAUACUUGGUGUGAAUUGCAGAAUCCCGUGAACCAUCGAGUCUUUGAACGCAAGUUGCGCCCGAAGCCAUUAGGCCGAGGGCACGCCUGCCUGGGCGUCACACGUCGUUGCCCCCCCAUCUACUCCUUCGGGAUUGCGGGGGGCGGAUGAUGGCCUCCCGUGCGCCUCGUCGUGCGGUUGGCAUAAAUGCCAAGUCCUCGGCGACGCACGCCACGACAAUCGGUGGUUGCGAAACCUCGGUUGCCCGUCGUGUGCGGUCGUCGCGCAUCGAGGGCUCGAAAAAAUUGCCGGGCUCCGGCUCGGCUUUCAACGCGACCCCAGGUCAGGCGGGGUUACCCGCUGAAUUUAAGCAUAUCAAUAAGCGGAGGA